GCUGGGGACGUAGUCACACCUGAGCAUGGGGUGGCUGGUCCCGGGAGACUCCUGCAUGUAGCGCAGCUUCAGCAGCUCGGCCAGUUAACAAUCAUUUAUUGAGCAUCUACUACAUGCCAAGCACUGCCCUGAGAGCUGAGACCAAUGAAGAAUGAACAGGAACUUUCAUCCUGCACAAGCUUGGGAUGACUGGGAAGACGAGACAUGCAAAUGCACACAAGUACGGCAAGCUGGUUUUAGGCGGAGUCAAAGGACCAGAGGUGGGAGACGCUCCUGGGCCAUGGUUCUCGGAAGUCCAGAUGGAGCCCGCACACAAGAGCAGCCCUCUACGGCUCAAUACCUUUGAGGACAGGAAGGUCACGCCACAAAAAGGCACCUCUCCUACUCCUCGUGACUUUUAAAGGGGGCCUCAGUCUGCCUGCCUGUCAGCACCGGCUCCGCCUGCUGGAGGGACUCCCAUCUACCCGUCUCUAAGCACUUCUCAGGCGGGCACUGCGCGCUAGGGCUUCCGACAGCUGUAGAAGGUGGGCACCAGGAGCCCCUCGCAACAGUUCAACACAUCUGGGGGAGAUGGGCGGUCCGAAUCCACAUGCCUAGUGCUGGCAGUACCAGGACCCAACCCAGACCACCACUGCUCCCCGUGGCUGCCACAGCUCCUGCCACAGUUUCAUCUCCUGACACUCUACCAUCGCGUCCAUUGCUCAUCUCUCCCAGGGUUUCUUUGGCUAAACCUGUCACCAAUCCAUCUCCACUCCACUUCUGGCCCCUCAGCAGCCCCUCCAGGGACCUGUCCCCAAUGGCACGGGUUUUCCAACCCCGCCAUGCCUCACACCUGUGCUCAGAAGGUUCAAGGAGAAUUUAAUGGGAGAAGCAGUUGGACACUUUCCCUCCUUAGGAGUCUGUGCAGACCUCAGCUGUCACUUCCGAUGGGCCCUGGGUCUGAGAUCCUGCUGUCCUGGCCUGCCUUCCUCACAUGGUCUGCUAGGCUGUCAGAGGAGCACUCACACUUGUCAGGCACUGAUCAGAUGCCCUGUGACAUGUGCUGUCACAAGGUUGGUCCUGUCAGCUCCUGCAGACAAGAAAACUGCCACAGAGAGGUCAAGCUGAUGGCACGGUGACAGAGCAGGACAGGAGUGAGCACAUUCACUCAUCACAGGAUGCCCCAUGGCUGGUUCAUCUUACAAUUCUGGCACUGGGCAGUAUCUAGCACUUAGCAACCCUCAAUAUGGGGCAAAUGACCACUCAGUGAUCCAACCCUCUCAUUUUCUUAGAGUGGAGAAGUGACUUGUCCAGGUGCCCACUGAGAAGGAGCCAGUGUAGGGCUGGCCCCAGAACUCAGACCUCUUCUCCUCCGCACGGGGCCCACAUGCUGCCCACCUGCCAGCUAUCCGCCACUGCACCCUCCCAGACAUCAACUGAUCGUGGCCAGUCCUUAUAGCUCAGCCCAGCACAGCCCCCAGAACCCUUCUUAGCAAAGCACUCCAGCCAACUGCCCCUUCUAGAGAUGGAAAUUCAGGAAAAACCCCUGGAAAAGGCAAGCCCCUCCCAAGCUUAGGCUUGGAUGAGCCUUUUACACUGACAUGUUGAUGAGCCUUCCCUAGUUGUGUCAUUUAGAUGCUCUACUUUGUAAGAGAAAAAACAAAGUCAAAGGUCAAGGGUUGGGGUGAGGGGAGUUGGAGAACAGAGGGGUGUGUGUAAGGGAUACCAAGUCAUCCUUCCACAAGAACAGCAGGGAAAACAAUCUGGAAAAACCUUCCCUGUUGGGACAGACUAGUUAAACCUGAGAGCACAGAGGUAGGUGGCAUCAGUGCUGAGGGACAGUGUCCUGGGAGGGACCCUGAACCCACCAAACCUCAGAGUUCAGAGGCAGAGGCAAGGACAGGACAACAUCCCAUAAUGCCAUGGACCGCCUCUCCAGGCAUCUCCCUAACACUCCAUCCCAAGUCCCCACCUCAGCACACCCCCAGCCCCAGCCCUGUGCUUCCCAACCCACCCUCAAGGUCACUCAAGCAAAAGACCAAGGACUUCUAGGCACAGUCUCCCUCCCUUCCUCUGUGUCACUAAACUGCUCCCUUGGUAUUCUUACAACACAGGAAGGAUGCUACUACUACAACUCUCAUCUUCCAAUUAGCAAAGCUGUGGUCACCUGCCUGUCUCCUCUCCUGCACUAUGAACUCUUCCAGAGCAGUGGCCUUGCUCAGGUACCUGCAGCUGGCACCCAGCCCUAUCAGCACAGCCUGGAGUGGAUUCUCAAUAAAUUAUUCAAUCCAGGAUUUGGAAAUCACAUUUGUUAACCCCAGCACCAUGACCCCAGGUAAAGCCUAACGCAGGAAUGGUUAUGAAGGUCGAUAUGGAAGUUAUAACUUCCAGGACACAGAAGACUAGAGAGACAGUGACCUCAUUGAUAUUAGGGACUCAUGAAAAGAUUAAGUCAGAAAAGUAAAACAAACAGUUGCUGGUUGCAGGGUGGAGAAAAUACCUUUGUCCUUUCUUUUUGGGAAGUAUAUAGCCUGUCAGUGUCAGAAGAGACUUUGAUGAUCACCUACCUGGGCACCUUUGUUUUACAAAUGAGCAAUGCAAACUGGUGGCUCAAGAGCCUGUAAUCCUGGCACUCUGGGAGGCCUAGGAGGGAGAAUUGCUAGAGCUCAG